CUCAAAUUACAUAUUCUCAAGUUUAAACUAGUUCUAAAAUACAAAAAUGCUAAUUCUUCACUAACUAACAAUGCCCAAUUUAAAAAUGCCCAAUAUUUUUUUUAUAAAAACCCUAAAAUAAAAAUCUUCAAUUAUCCAUACCUAACUAACAAUAAUAAAAUCAAAUUAACAAUUGAAUAACACAACCCAACAAACAAAAACAAUAAUAUACUAACAAACAAUCAAUUAUAAUCACUAGAAUUGAAAAAACAAUAAUUAACCCCUUACCUGCAGCGACGACGAUCGGCGACGGGGAAGGGAGGCAGGCUACGGGGAAGGGCAGCACUGGGAGAGGACGAUGACCGGCGAUGGCGACGGGAAGGGCGG
rnacentral:lncRNA from 1 species